GAUGGCCGACAGUCCCUUGAAAAUGAUGGAGGUCGUGGACGGAAGUCAACAAUCGGACCGUCAGCCGUGACGUCAAUUGAAGAGAAACUUAGAGCGGACUGCUGAUUGACUGUACGGGAGCUGUCAGAGGCUGCCAAUGUCAGCUAUUGAACUGCACACAGCAUUCUGACCACCGAAAUAAUUAUGCGGAAGGUAUUUUGCAGUAUCCACUUCUCUUGUACAAUAAUUUUUAAUUCGCUAAAGAAUAGUAAUACUUUAAUAUUGGAUCGAUUGGGAAAUAUUCAAAUUGUUGCAAAUUAUUGUGAUGAACACUUAAUAAAUGUUAUAAAUUGUUACAAGAAAGGCAACCGCAAACAGUUGUUUUUAUCACAUUCAAAAUCGCAAAAUCAUAUUUUUUAUUCUGAUACAGGAUGCAUUUGCAGACGACGCGCGCGUUGUGCCACGCAUCCUGACUGGCAUCGAGAGAGACAGGCGCGUGAAGGAGUCGGGGAAGUUUCUACCAAGGCACAGUCGGCUGUAUGGAAGAGAGCUGGGUCAACCCCACCUGAGAAAACCCGAGUUUCACGUUCCGCCGGUAAACAGAUGUACAUGAUGAUUGCUAAAUGACGGCGAAUGAUCCUGUGCCACGCGGUACCUGUAAGGAGGCCUGUAAACGCUGAGUAUUAUUCGAAGGAAAUAUUUAUUUAAAGUAAAAAAACACAAUAUUAUUGCUGCAGAUGAAGUUCAAUUAAUUAUAAUUUGUAUAUUACAUAUUGUUACAUAUUGUUAAACCUAUUCAAUAUAUCAACAAUUGGGGUAAAUCCACUUUUUGCAAAUUCUUAAAUUAUGAAAGAGAUAAUCAUACCUAUCUUGUAGCUGCCAAACACCUGUUAUGAAUAUAAAAUCAAAUUAAUUAGCAAACUUCUAGCUACAAUGUGAAAGUAUGACUCUAAAAAUGGUUUUAACAUUGUGAAAAGGUCGCCAAUUUGAAAAAUUACGAGAGUUACAGACGGCUGCAAACGCAUUGAUACACCAAAAUCCGGCAGAGUACUAUCGAGAUAUCAUCUUCAACAAAUGGCAAAAGAGAUACGAACGCUAUUUCAAAUGGUCCGGUGCCUACUUUGAGAAGAAGUGAGAUCACACAAGACGUACCUCGAGCACCUUCAGCAUAGGCGACGUUUUUGACGUCGUCACAUAUAUAUGACGACUCGGGGCGACAGCGCGACAGUGUGCCUCUUCAACUCGCCGUGAUUUGAUGUAGGAGGGACAAACACGUCAAUCGGCCGUUGCAUUUUAAAAUAAACAAUGUCUGCUCUAUGACAGUCACGCAUGCUAUGAAUUUAAAUAUGUCAUCAUAAGAACGUUUGAAACUUUUCACAAACAUUAAAUUUUGCAAAGAAAUAGGAAAAACACCAUCCGAAACAUAUAAGCUUCUAAAGCUGACACGGGGAGACAACUGUGUUUUGCCGUGCACUGGUUUUCGAGUAGCAUCGACGCUUUUCUGAUGGCCGACAGUACCUUGAAGAUGAUGCAGUUCGUGGACGGAAUUCAACAAUCGGACCGUCAGCCAUGACGUCAAUCAAAGAGAAACUGAAAGCGAAUUGCAGAAUGACUUUACAGGAGCUUUCAGGGGUUGCCAAUGUCAGCUAUGGAACCGCACACAGCAUUCUGACCAACGAAUUAAAAUGCGGAAGGAUGCAUUUGCAAACGACGCGCGCGUUGUGCCACGCAUCCUGACUGGCAUCGAGAGAGAGAGGCGCGUGAAGGAGUCGGGGAAGUUUCUACCAAGGCACAGUCGGCUGUAUGAAAGAGAGCUGGGUCAACACUACCUGAGAAAACCCGAGUUUCACGUUCCGCCUAAACAGAUGUACAUGAUGUUUGCGGAUUGACGGGAAAUGAUCCUGUGUCAUGUGGUGCCUUUUAGGAGGACGGUAAACGCGGGGUAUUAUUCGAAGGCAAUAUUCAUUUAAAGUACUCGACCGUGAUCUCAUCCGGGCGCUUAGAAAGAAGAGCAGUGACAUCCCGGUUGAUAAUUUCAUCCUCCAUCAGGAAAAUGCCCCACCUUAUAUGUGCUGACCACACAGCUUGUGAUUAGCGUCCUACGAUUGGAGGUUCUUUCACAUUCCCCGUACUCACCUGACAUGGCCCCGUUCGACUUUAUCAUUUUUCCGGAGUUGAAGUCCCACCUCAAAGGUCGCCGAUUUGAAAGUUUGCGGGAGCUACAGACGGCUGCAAACGCAUUGAUACACCAGAACUCCGGCAGUGUACUAUCGGGAUAUCAUCUUCAACAAAUGGCAAAAGAGACACGAACACUAUUUACAAUGGUCCGGAGCCUACUUUGAGAAGAAGUGAGAUCACACAAGACGUAUCUCGAGCACCUUCAACAUAGGCAACGUCGUUGACGUCGUCGAACAGAUUACGACGUUGGCCGACAGCGCGACAGUGUGCCUCUUCAACUCGCCGUGAUUUGAUGUAGGAGGGGCAAACAUUUCUGAUAUUUACAGAAGCAGUUGUGGAUAAAACGACGUUUAGUAAUGCAUGUCUUUUACUAUUAUUGAAAUAGAGGCAGUCUACGUAAUUAUUGAUCAUCCAUAGUAUGCAUACAUUGUUAUGGAGAAGACUAAGAUAGAUACUUUUUUAAAUUAGAUUUCAUACUCAACUCAGCAUGAAUUUAGGAUGAGGAUAUAAGUUUCCACUGUCUGUCUACUUCAUAGUGGUUAUUGCGAACCUUUCAUAAAGCAUUCGAAUUUAAACGUUGCCAACAUGUUUAUUGCCCAUCUUCUCUACAACUAUAUAUGUUCAAGCAUUCUUAUUGAACCUUGGUUAUGUAACAAGUCCUAAAAAUCAAGAAACGUGUGUUAAGGAGACCCCAUAUUAUUUUUGAAAUCAUCUGAAUUGGUGUUGUGUGUGUAGAGACUAUACAAUAAAUGUA